AUGUCUGCGCUGGCUGAGGAAGAGUCCUGUUUUAGCAGAACCCAGAUCCUGUUGAAAGUGGUAGAAGCUGAAUGCUCUUCCCUAGAAAACUCGGUGUCAGAUUUGCUGUGGAAUCAGAGGCUGAGCCUGUUCUCCUUGUGGAUUGAAAAGCCAGCAGAGCGUUUAUACCGGAUGGCCGUGCGCUUCCCUGAACUCUGCUGUGUCGCUAAGCAGAUGGCAUCCUGGCGAGAGCUCCGUGUGCACACAUGUAGUGAAUGUGCUUUGACCAUAGAAAGGACUAUACUCAGAAGUAGUGCUAAGUUGCCAGUGGAAACUGCCCAUGGGCCACAUGAGAGACCACGGAUCCUGCAAUGCUCGGGAUGCAUAAAGCUGGCACAGAAGUGCUGCAGAGAGGCUGUCACCAGUUAG
rnacentral:lncRNA from 1 species